CGGCGGACGGGUGAGUAACACGUGGGUAACCUACCUAUAAGACUGGGACAACUUCGGGAAACCGGAGCUAAUACCGGAUAAGAUAUCGAACCGCAUGGUUCGAUAGUGAAAGANGGUUUUGCUAUCACUUAUAGAUGGACCCGCGCCGUAUUAGCUAGUUGGUGAGGUAACGGCUCACCAAGGCAACGAUACGUAGCCGACCUGAGAGGGUGAUCGGCCACACUGGAACUGAGACACGGUCCAGACUCCUACGGGAGGCAGCAGGC
rnacentral:rRNA from 1 species